UCCCGCUUCGUCUAAUGGUAGGACACCGGCCUUUGAAGCCGUGAACCGUGGUUCGACCCCACGAGCGGGAACCA
rnacentral:tRNA from 1 species